rnacentral:rRNA from 1 species
CCUACGGGAGGCAGCAGUGGGGAAUAUUGGACAAUGGGGGCAACCCUGAUCCAGCCAUGCCGCGUGUGUGAAGAAGGCCCUCGGGUUGUAAAGCACUUUCAGUGAGGAAGAACGCCUGGUGGUUAAUACCCAUCAGGAAAGACAUCACUCACAGAAGAAGCACCGGCUAACUCCGUGUCAGCAGCCGCGGUAAUACGGAGGGUGCGAGCGUUAAUCGGAAUUACUGGGCGUAAAGCGCGCGUAGGUGGCUUGAUAAGCCGGUUGUGAAAGCCCCGGGCUCAACCUGGGAACGGCAUCCGGAACUGUCAAGCUAGAGUGCAGGAGAGGAAGGUAGAAUUCCCGGUGUAGCGGUGAAAUGCGUAGAGAUCGGGAGGAAUACCAGUGGCGAAGGCGGCCUUCUGGACUGACACUGACACUGAGGUGCGAAAGCGUGGGUAGCAAACAGGAUUAGAUACCCCAGUAGUC